GCAUCAAAGAAGAAUUAAAAGAUUGCAUUAAAAAAAACAGAAAUUAACUUGAACCUAGAACAAGGAUUGCAUGAUAAUAAAUGUACUGAUUGCAUAAAAAGAAUAAUUACAAAAGAAAUAAAAUGAAGUUUGGAAGCCUAGUGCCUCCUCCUUCUACAAAAUAAAACAUAAAAAAACAAAGGAAGGAAUAAAAGAAAUUAGAAAACUCCUCUUUCUCCCCUCCUCUAUUUUUUUAUUCUUUCUUUCAAACCAAAACAGAGCAUUUCUCUCUUUUUUUUUUUCUUCUUCUUCCCAAAAGAGCUCCCCUGUUUCCUUGGACCCGCCGGCCUCUUUCCUCUGUUCUUUGGAACCAACCACCCAGCCGAGCUCCCCACC
rnacentral:lncRNA from 1 species